AUUGAACGCUGGCGGCAUGCCUUACACAUGCAAGUCGAACGGCAGCACGGGAGCAAUCCUGGUGGCGAGUGGCGAACGGGUGAGUAAUGUAUCGGAACGUGCCCAGUCGUGGGGGAUAACGUAGCGAAAGCUACGCUAAUACCGCAUACGAUCUAUGGAUGAAAGCGGGGGAUCGCAAGACCUCGCGCGAUUGGAGCGGCCGAUAUCAGAUUAGGUAGUUGGUGGGGUAAAGGCUCACCAAGCCGACGAUCUGUAGCUGGUCUGAGAGGACGACCAGCCACACUGGGACUGAGACACGGCCCAGACUCCUACGGGAGGCAGCAGUGGGGAAUUUUGGACAAUGGGCGCAAGCCUGAUCCAGCAAUGCCGCGUGCAGGAUGAAGGCCUUCGGGUUGUAAACUGCUUUUGUACGGAACGAAACGGCGAGCUCUAAUACAGUCUGCUAAUGACGGUACCGUAAGAAUAAGCACCGGCUAACUACGUGCCAGCAGCCGCUGUAA
rnacentral:rRNA from 1 species